UACGUAGGUGGCAAGCGUUGUCCGGAUUUACUGGGCGUAAAGAGCGCGCAGGCGGUCGUUCAAGUCGCGUGUGAAAGCCCCCGGCUCAACUGGGGAGGGUCACGCGAUACUGAUCGACUCGAAGGCAGGAGAGGGUAGUGGAAUUCCCGGUGUAGUGGUGAAAUGCGUAGAUAUCGGGAGGAACACCAGUGGCGAAGGCGGCGACCUGGACCGAUACUGACGCUGAUGUGCGAAAGCGUGGGGAGCAAACAGG
rnacentral:rRNA from 1 species